GGGCACAUGGUGUAGUUGGUUAUCACAUCCGCUUAGCAUGUCGCAUAGGUCGACUAGCGUGCGGGGGGUGCUGGGUUCAAUUCCCAGUGUGUCCA
rfam:Gymnopus luxurians FD-317 M1 unplaced genomic scaffold GYMLTscaffold_31, whole genome shotgun sequence.